rnacentral:rRNA from 1 species
UAACCUACUAAAUAGUGCUGCUAGCAUUUGCUGGUAUAGUCACUUCUUAGAGGGACUAUCGAUUUCAAGUCGAUGGAAGUUUGAGGCAAUAACAGGUCUGUGAUGCCCUUAGACGUUCUGGGCCGCACGCGCGCUACACUGACGGAGCCAGCGAGUAUAAACCUUGGCCGAGAGGUCUGGGAAAUCUUGUGAAACUCCGUCGUGCUGGGGAUAGAGCAUUGUAAUUAUUGCUCUUCAACGAGGAAUUCCUAGUAAGCGCAAGUCAUCAGCUUGCGUUGAUUACGUCCCUGCCCUUUGUACACACCGCCCGUCGCU